rnacentral:rRNA from 1 species
AUUGAACGCUGGCGGCAGGCCUAACACAUGCAAGUCGAACGAGUGGCGGACGGGUGAGUAAUGUCUGGGAAACUGCCCGAUGGCGGGGGAUAACUACUGGAAACGGUAGCUCAUACCGCAUACCAUCGGGUGUGCCCCGAUGGGAUUCGCUAGUAGGUGGGGUAACGGCUCACCUAGGCGACGAUCCCUAGCUGGUCUGAGAGGAUGACCAGCCACACUUGAACUGAGACACGGUCCAGACGCCUACGGGAGGCAGCAGUGGGGAAUAUUGCACAAGGGGCGCAAGCCUGAUGCAGCCAUGCCGCGUGUAGGAAGAAGGCCGUCGGGUGGUAAAGUACUGUCAGCGAGGAGGCGUUACUCGCAGAAGAAGCACAGGCUAACUCCGUGCCAGCCGCCGCGGUAAUAC